AUUGAACGCUGGCGGCAGGCCUAACACAUGCAAGUCGAACGAGUGGCGGACGGGUGAGUCAUGUCUGGGAAACUGCCUGAUGGAGGGGGAUAACUACUGGAAACGGUAGCUAAUACCGCAUACCAUCAGAUGUGCCCAGAUGGGAUUCUCUAGUUGGUGGGGUAACGGCUCACCACGGCGACGAUGCCUAGCUGGUCUGAGAGGUUGACCGGCCACACUGGAACUGAGACACGGUCCAGACUCCUACGGGAGGCAGCAGUGGGGAAUAUUGCACAAGGGGCGCAAGCCUGAUGCAGCCAUGCCGCGUGUAUGAAGAAGGCCUUCGGGUUGUAAAGUACUGUCAGCGGGGAGGCGUUACCCGCAGAAGAAGCACCGGCUAACUCCGUGCCAGCAGCCGCGGUAAUUC
rnacentral:rRNA from 1 species